CCUUUUCGCUUGCGGCCUUUGUCCGAGCAGCUGCUCGGUGGGGAGCUCCGGACGCGUGUGGAUGGCUUGACUAGAAUGCAUUCCUGAAGGAAGGAAAUCGUGGAAGGAGUGCAGUCUGUUGUGUGGUUUUUCAGGCGGCUUGACCUGGAUAAGAAACCUGCUUCCAUCAGGACCCCGCAUCUCUCGACAACUCUUGUGACACCAGAUAAGAAUUGGCCAGCUCCCUUUGUAAAUGCUUUGGUGUGAUGGCCAUGUGAAGUAGGUUCCAGGUCUGAUUUGUAUUAUGAGGAGAUAUUUAAAGGGUUCAAACUGCCGGUCUUUCAGCAAUUCAGUGUGUAGCCUACGACUGACACCAGGGUUGAAAAGGUUAGUAGGGGACUCAAAUUAUAUAAGGCUUUCCCUGACAUUUGUUAAUCUUUUACAUUCCUUUGAUAAGUCCAAAAGAAAAUAGUGCCCAAGGAUUCUUUUGUGUUGAUAUUUUUUAAUCAAGAUAAUAAUAAGACCCAGAAGAAUAAAUUCUGCGAGCCCCAACGGGACUCAAAAAAGGUGGCUAAGUGCCUAGGAAUUUUCACACAAAGGAAAACUACCUCCUUAGAGCAACUAAUUAGAACCUAAGAGUGACAAUGACUACUGUGAAUCUUGUUGCUUAAUUAGGGCUUUGUGAACAACUCCGGUUAAUGCAUAUCAAUAUUAUCUUUUGUCUAAUGAACAAAUUCGCUAAUGCUUAGAUUCUCUGCUUGCACCAUCUGUCCCCCCUCCCUGCUAUUUAGGAAUGCUAUCAGUGAGCUAAAUUACUAGGUCGUAUGUUUAGUGUGAUUCAAAGUAGCUUCAUUUUUAAAGGAGAAAUAUGAGGCACUCUUUCCAGAAGAGGUUUACCUCCUUCGGUACCGUAGACAGGGUUUUUUUUGUUUUGUUUUGUUUGUUUUUUCAGACAAGGUUCUUACAGGUUGACGCUGAGGCUGGCUUACCCCUUAGCAUAUAUCUACCCCAUUUGCAGCUUUCAUGAGAACCACCACUGCCCAGCAUUAUGUUACUGCACACUGAUCUUCAUGUAUUUCCUACCCUUUUUUUUUUUUUAAUACUCCGUGCAUUUUGGGGUUCUACUUAAGAUAGUUGAGCCUGCUGUCUCAUUUUAUUGCUGUCAGCCCUUAGAAAACUGGUUAUUUCUACCCUAUGAGCUAAUGGUAAAGGGUGAGGAUUUCAUACCAACUUCUGAUAAGUGGGAAGAACCAAAGCCCAUCUAGGCCUCAUGUUAGAGAUACCUUUAAGGCAGAGAACAUGAGCUAAAACCUGGGCUCCCCUAAAUUGAGUGGUAGGACUUCCUCUAUUAAUCAGUUUGUGGCAUGCCUGUUUGCCGUUGGCUUUAGGAACAACUGCUCCCUGUCACCACCAGUCUGCAGACCCAGCUUUUAGCACAUAGAUCAAUUUUCCCCCACUGGGAGAGGUCUCACCCUCCAACUUGCCCAAAAAAUGUAAGCCUUGCACUUUGUCUAAACCCUAUAUAAAUGUCUGAUCACUUUAGGUGGAUCUUGAAGUUCCUGGUUUGAAUUGUUAAAUUCUCAAUAAACUUGUGUUUUAACCUCGAAA